CCGGAUAUGCCGGAAGGUGAAAGAUUAAUUGCCUGAAGAUGAGCUCGCGUCUGAUUAGCUAGUUGGUGGGGUAAGAGCCUACCAAGGCGACGAUCAGUAGCUGGUCUGAGAGGAUGAUCAGCCACACUGGGACUGAGACACGGCCCAGACUCCUACGGGAGGCAGCAGUGGGGAAUUUUCCGCAAUGGGCGAAAGCCUGACGGAGCAAUACCGCGUGAGGGAGGAAGGCUCUUGGGUCGUAAACCUCUUUUCUCAGGGAAGAAAAAAAUGACGGUACCUGAGGAAUAAGCAUCGGCUAACUCCGUGCCAGCAGCCGCGGUAAUACGGAGGAUGCAAGCGUUAUCCGGAAUGAUUGGGCGUAAAGGGUCUGCAGGUGGUACUGUAAGUCUGCUGUUAAAGAGCAAGGCUCAACCUUGUCAGAGCGGUGGAAACUACAGAACUAGAGUACGUUCGGGGCAGAGGGAAUUCCUGGUGUAGCGGUGAAAUGCGUAGAUAUCAGGAAGAACACCGGUGGCGAAAGCGCUCUGCUAGGCCGUAACUGACACUGAGGGACGAAAGCUAGGGGAGCGAAUGGGAUUAGAUACCCCAGUAGUC
rnacentral:rRNA from 1 species